rnacentral:lncRNA from 1 species
GUAGAAUUCGGAGAUCCUACAGCCAAUCAGCAGACAGCUACUUGGUGAAUACAAUUCAGUUCGUGCUCUCUUAGGGCACUUUGAGCAAAAAUUAAUCAGUUCGAAGCUGGCGACAUUUCAGGUACUUGUGAUUCCAGUAGUAAAACUACAUUGGACACUGCCUUCCCGUCUCCUGUGCCUAUGAAACCGAGCCGAUCAGGCGACACACAGAUCUAGAUAUCUGGAUUGCAUUAUAUCUGAGCAAAUAUUCAGAAAGCCAGCACCCACAUGAGAAGCCAACAGCUGACAGUUAGCCAAGAAGCUGACACCCUGCCCAGACAGCACGGACCUUCCACUCACUCUUAGACAACCAGCCAGACGAAUAUACUGC